UGGGGAAUUUUGGACAAUGGGCGAAAGCCUGAUCCAGCAAUGCCGCGUGUGUGAAGAAGGCCUUCGGGUUGUAAAGCACUUUUGUCCGGAAAGAAAUCCUUGGCUCUAAUACAGUCGGGGGAUGACGGUACCGGAAGAAUAAGCACCGGCUAACUACGUGCCAGCAGCCGCGGUAAUACGUAGGGUGCAAGCGUUAAUCGGAAUUACUGGGCGUAAAGCGUGCGCAGGCGGUUUGCUAAGACCGAUGUGAAAUCCCCGGGCUCAACCUGGGAACUGCAUUGGUGACUGGCAGGCUAGAGUAUGGCAGAGGGGGGUAGAAUUCCACGUGUAGCAGUGAAAUGCGUAGAGAUGUGGAGGAAUACCGAUGGCGAAGGCAGCCCCCUGGGCCAAUACUGACGCUCAUGCACGAAAAGCGUGGGGAGCAAAACAGGAUUAGAUACCCUGGCAGUCCACGCCCUAAAACGAUGUCAACUAGUUGUUGGGGAUUCAUUUCCUUAGUAACGUAGCUAACGCGUGAAGUUGACCGCCUGGGGAGUACGGUCGC
rnacentral:rRNA from 1 species